UAUCCCCCGAUAGUGAUAUCUUCAAUUGGAGCACGGCCAGUCACAUUAGCAGGGGGGUGGCGCCGCAGCGCUUCUUUAAUGACUUUUUCAAGUUCAACUUGGAUUUGAGGCUUCUUUGCCAGCUCAUAGAGGGUCCAGGCAAGAGCAACACUAGUUGUCUCGUGACCAGCCACCAUAAAGGUCACUUCAAUACCGGCUCCCAAUGAGAGAGAGUUAUUUCAUUCCAUUCAUCAUGAAAAUGGUGCAAUAACCUCAAUCUGCAAUUCAGUAUUGUCCAAUAAUUCAAGGAAUGUAAUUUCUGCACCUGACUCCUCAACUCCUCAUCGUCCAUGACUGAAUUUGUUUCCUGAUCAUACAUGUCCAUCAGAACAUCUAGAAGAUCUUUUU